UACAGAGGUCUCAAGCGUUGUUCGGAUUCAUUGGGCGUAAAGGGUGCGUAGGCGGCGCGGAAAGUCGGGUGUGAAAUCUCGGAGCUUAACUCCGAAACUGCAUUCGAUACUGCCGUGCUUGAGGACUGGAGAGGAGACUGGAAUUUACGGUGUAGCGGUGAAAUGCGUAGAUAUCGUAAGGAAGACCAGUGGCGAAGGCGGGUCUCUGGACAGUUCCUGACGCUGAGGCACGAAGGCCAGGGGAGCAAACGGG
rnacentral:rRNA from 1 species